GCCUGGGUGGCUCAGUUGGUUAAGCAGCUGCCUUCGGCUCAGGUCAUGUGGGAUCAAGUCCCACAUCGGGCU
rnacentral:tRNA from 1 species